GUAAACUAUGUGUAUCAAUGUAAGUAUAUAUAUACAGAGUUCUCAAGCCCGAACAACAGCUCAGUUGGCUGUCCUCUCGUUUUAUAUUCAUUUUCUUUUUUAUUUUUUAGGCCCCUCCUUCUUCUUCUUCUUCGAAAUCUCCAGAACUGCAAGUAAGAGGGCGAGAAUAAUUCCACAUUGAAAUCCCAUAUUCUUAUUACUUUAACUCUAUAUUGAUUUUAUCCGUUUUUUCUUGGGAAAAAUCGUAGUGAGUUUAAGAUUUUCCUUUUCUUUUGUUGGUUCGGAUUUUUUUAGGAGAAAAAAAAAAAACAUUCUUGAAACAGUGGAGCCAUCGGGUUGCAUUUUGUGGGAGAGAUCUGGGAUUUUGUUUCUUUAUUUGGAGGUUUUGGCAGAUUCUUGAUUUUCCAGCAGCUGGGGAACCGGUGAGCUUAGUUUUCUUGAAUAGCAAGAAUUGAAAAUUCAUCAUUCAUGGAUACGGGGGGGAGUUUUGCCUUUGAGAGACGCCAUUGAUUCUGGAAAGCGAGAGAAAAUAAAGUAGAAGCUCAUAGACAUUACGCGCUCUUUCUCUCUCUCUCCCUCUCUCUCUC
rnacentral:misc_RNA from 1 species